rnacentral:rRNA from 1 species
GCGGGCGGCGUGCUAUACAUGCAGUCGAGCGGACAGAUGGGAGCUUGCUCCCUGAUGUUAGCGGCGGACGGGUGAGUAACACGUGGGUAACCUGCCUGUAAGACUGGGAUAACUCCGGGAAACCGGGGCUAAUACCGGAUGGUUGUUUGAACCGCAUGGUUCAAACAUAAAAGGUGGCUUCGGCUACCACUUACAGAUGGACCCGCGGCGCAUUAGCUAGUUGGUGAGGUAACGGCUCACCAAGGCAACGAUGCGUAGCCGACCUGAGAGGGUGAUCGGCCACACUGGGACUGAGACACGGCCCAGACUCCUACGGGAGGCAGCAGUAGGGAAUCUUCCGCAAUGGACGAAAGUCUGACGGAGCAACGCCGCGUGAGUGAUGAAGGUUUUCGGAUCGUAAAGCUCUGUUGUUAGGGAAGAACAAGUACCGUUCGAAUAGGGCGGUACCUUGAGGGGACCUAACCACAAACCCACGGCUAACUACGUGCCAGCAGCCGCGGUAAUACGUAGGUGGCAGGCGCUGUCCGGAAUUAUUGGACGGAAAGGGCUCGGAGGGCGCUUCUUA